UACGUAGGGUGCAAGCGUUGUCCGGAAUUAUUGGGCGUAAAGAGCUCGUAGGCGGUCUGUCGCGUCGGAUGUGAAAAUCCAGGGCUCAACCCUGGACCUGCAUUCGAUACGGGCAGACUAGAGUUCGGCAGGGGAGACUGGAAUUCCUGGUGUAGCGGUGAAAUGCGCAGAUAUCAGGAGGAACACCGGUGGCGAAGGCGGGUCUCUGGGCCGAAACUGACGCUGGAGGAGCGAAAGCGUGGGGAGCAAACAGG
rnacentral:rRNA from 1 species